GAUGAAGAACGUAGCGAAAUGCGAUAAGUAAUGUGAAUUGCAGAAUUCAGUGAAUCAUCGAAUCUUUGAACGCACAUUGCGCCCCCUGGUAUUCCGGGGGGCAUGCCUGUCCGAGCGUCAUUACAACCCUCAAGCUCAGCUUGGUGUUGGGCCCCGCCGCCCCGGCGGGCCCUAAAGUCAGUGGCGGUGCCGUCCGGCUCCGAGCGUAGUAAUUCUUCUCGCUCUGGAGGCCCGGCCGCGUGCCCGCCAGCAACCCCCAAUUGUUUUCAGGUUGACCUCGGAUCAGGUAGGGAUACCCGCUGAACUUAAGCAUAUCAAUAAGCGGAGGA
rnacentral:misc_RNA from 1 species